rnacentral:ncRNA from 20 species
GGUUGGGUUUUAAAAAACUUUCAAGAUUUGCUUAUUUGGGUCAAUAAGC